rnacentral:rRNA from 1 species
ACAGAGCCUGUGAAUUCGGGCGCGUGGAAUUCAGAAACGACGCGGAGUUUGCGCUUCUCGUCGUUUCGAUAUUUCCAUCGCCGAUCCUCAACCGAGGAUAGCGAACGUCGCGACUCGUUGGCGUCGAUGCUCGUGGGCGGUGUCGAAGUUCGUUCGCACGAUCGCCUCGGCGACCGUGUGACGAGCGCGCCGUCUGUAGUUCUCGACGCGGACGAUAGCUUCAACGCGGGUGAUCGCGACGAUUGCCGCUCGGACUCAACGCCGAGCAACGUCGUCGCGACUCCGGUCAGCGACGAAUUAUCGGGUCUCUUUCCGACCCGUCUUGAAACACGGACCAAGGAGUCUAGCGUACGCGCGAGUCGCGGGGUAUUCGAUCGGUAGUAGUCGUUUCGGCGACCAACGCCUUUCGAUACAAUUCGAAACCCGUGUACGUACGUUGUGCGACGGCGUAAUGAAAGUGAAAGGCGACGUUUCGUGCGUCGCCGGGGGAAGAUGGUGUUUCGAGAAAACGUUUUGCGAUCGCGUGUGUAUCGCAACCGAACACCCGCAUUCCCAGGGCGUCUCGCCAGUACGUCGGCUUCGGCGGUUCGCCGCCGCGAGUCGACGAACUGAGGCGCACCUACAGCGUGUACGCUGGUACCCGAAAGAUGGUGAACUAUGCCCGGCCAGGAU